UGCACUGAGUUGUAUCCGAGAGGGUGGGA
rnacentral:piRNA from 1 species